GGUACAAGCCUUUAUUUAUUAGUAAUUGCUUUAAAUAUAAAUGGCAUAAACUCUCAAAAAGGCAGAGAUUGGCAGACAAAGGACAUUUGUAUCCUGAUAAAAAGGCUAACCCAUCGAGAUAACAAUUAUAAAUAUACAUGCACCUAACAGUAGAGUCCCAGAAACCUUGAAAGAAAACCUGAUAGAAUUGAAGGGAGAAAUAGUAUUAGUUGGAGACUUCAACAUCUAAUUUUCCUACUGGAUAGAACAAUUAGACAAAAGAUAAUAAUGAAAGAGAAAACUUGAACAACACUAUAAACCAACUAGACCUAACAGACAUACAGAACAGUUGAGCCACCAACAACAGAGUAUACAUUUUUCUCAGUGCACAUGAAAAAUCCUCCACAUAACCACAAAACAAUCUAAAUUUUAGAAGAUCAAAACUAUACAGAAUAUCUUCUAUGACCACAACAGAAUGAAAUUAGAAAUUAACAGGAGGAAAUCUGGAAAUUUUACAAAUAUGUGGAAGCUAAACAUACUUUGAAAAAAAUGUUCAGAGGGAAGGAUAUAGCUAUAAAUGCCAACACUAAAAAGGAAAAAAAGAUUUCAAACCAAUAACCUAACCUUCUCUUUAAGGAAUUAGAAAACAAAAAACAAGCUAAACCCAAAGCAGCUGGAAGGAAGAAAAUAAAUAUUAGAACACAGAUAAAACAGAAUAGAGAAACAAUUGGAUCAAUAAAACAAAAAAAAAGUGGUUCUUUGGAAAGAUCAAUAAAAUUAACAAACUUUUAGAUUGACAUAAAGAGGAGACCCAGUUACUGAAGUCAGAAAUGAAAGUGGGAACAUUAAUAACAACCUUAUAGAAAUAAAAUCUUAUUUAUUUUAAAUUUAUCAUAAAAUUAUAAGAAAAUACUGUUAACAGUUGUAUGUCAACAUAUUAGAUAACCUAGAUAAAAUGGAAAAUUCCUAGAAACCCAAAUUCCCAAAUCUGACUCAAGAAAAAAUAGAAAAUCUGAAUACGCCUGUAAUAAGAAAUUAAAUUUAAAAAAAGAGAAAUUAAGUCAGUUUUAAUAAAGCCCUCUCAACAAAGAAAAAGCCAGGACCAGCAGACUUCAUGGUGGAUUCAAUCAAGCAUUCAAAGUAACACCAACCCUGCUCAAACUCUUCCCAAAACAUAGAAGAGGGAACACUUCCUAACUCAUUAUAUGAGACCAGAAUUACCCUGAUACCAAAGCCAGACAGAGACCACAAGAAUAGUGCAAAACUCUUCAGUGAAAUAGCAAACUGAAUCUAGCAGCAUAUUUAAAGGUUUAGCUACCAUGACCAGGUGAGAUCUAUCAGAGAAAUACAAGGAUCAUUCAAUAUACAAAAGUUAGUUCAUACAAUACACAUUAUUAAGAGAACAAAGGGAGAUAAAAACCACACAAUCAACUGAUGGAGAAAAGCAUUUGAGAAAACCCAACACUUGGAUGAUUAAAAUAAAAAAAUAAGAAACUAAACAUAUUUAUCAACCUGAUAUAAAGGGCAUCUAUGAAAAGCAACAGCUGGGGACACCUGGGUGGCUCAGCGGUUGAGCAUCUGUCUUCAGCUCAGGGCAUGAUCCCAGGGUCCUGGGAUCAAGUCCCACAUAGGGCUCCCUGCAUGGAGCCUGCUUCCCCUUCAGCCUAUGUCUCUGCCUCUUUUGUCUCUCUCAUGAAUAAAUAAAUAAAAUCUUUUUUUAAAAAAGCCACUGAAUUAUUUAAUGGUGAAAAAAUGAAAGCUUUCACCUAAGAUCAGAAAUGAGACAAAGAUGUUUGCUCUUGCCACUACUAGUCAACACUGUAUUGGAAACUCUAGACAGGGCAAUUAGGCAAGAAAAUGAAAAGGUAUCCAAAUUGGAAAUAAGUCAAACUUUCUAUUCACAGAUGACACGAUCUUAUGUAGAAAAUCAUAAAUCAGAUACGCAAAGAAAUUAUUAGAGGCAAAUUAAUUUGACAGAGUUGCAGAAUAUAGGAUACAUGAUCAAAAUACAAAGAUCAGUUGUGUGGAACUGGAGGGUAUGAUGCUGAGUGAAAUAAGUCAAUCGGAGAAGGACAAACAUCAUAUGGUUUCACUCAUAUGUGGAAUAUAAGAAACAGUGAAAGGGAUUAUAAGGGAAGGAGGGGAAUUGAGUGGGAAAAAUUAGAGAGGGAGACAAACCAUGAGAGACUCCUGACUCUGGGUAAUAAAGGGUUGCGGAAGAGAAGGUGGGUGGGGGGAUGGGGUGACUGGGUGACAGGCACUGAGGAGGGCAUCUGAUGGGAUAAGCACUGGGUGUUAUACUAUAUGUUGACAAAUUGAAUUUAAAUUUUAAAAAUGCUUAAAAAAACUAAAAAUCAGUUGUGUUUCUGUAUACUGGCAGUGAACAAUCUGAAAAUAAAAUUAAGAUUCCAUUUAUAAUAUCAAAAAGAACAAACAAAAAGAUAAAUUUAACUAGGUCUUACAAGACUUGUACACCGAAAAAUACAAAAAAGAGAAAACAUCCUGUGCUCAUGGAUUGGAAGAUUUGGUAUUAUUGAUAUAGUAUAGAUAUAUACUCUGCAAAUUGAUCUGCAGUUUUAGGCUAAUCCCUAUAAAAAUUCCACUGCCUUUUUGCAGACCUGGACAAGGUGAUCUUAAAAUUCAUAUGGCAUUGCAAAGGGCUGGUCCCCCAAAUAGCCAAAACACAGUCUUGGAAAGAACAACUAAGUCAGGGAUCUCACACUUCUUGAUUUCAAAAAUUACUACAAAGCUACAGUAAUUCAAACAGUGUAAUACUGGAAUAAAGAUAGAUAUAUAAAUGGGAUGGAAUCGAGAAACCUAAACAUCUGUCCUGACUGAUUUUUGACAAGGGUACCAGAACCAUUUGAUGAG
rnacentral:lncRNA from 1 species